rnacentral:rRNA from 1 species
AGCGAACGCUGGCGGCAGGCCUAACACAUGCAAGUCGAACGAACUCUUCGGAGUUAGUGGCGGACGGGUGAGUAACACGUGGGAACGUGCCUUUUGGUUCGGAAUAACUCAGGGAAACUUGUGCUAAUACCGAAUGUGCCCUUCGGGGGAAAGAUUUAUCGCCAUUAGAGCGGCCCGCGUCUGAUUAGCUAGUUGGUGAGGUAACGGCUCACCAAGGCGACGUUCAGUAGCUGGUCUGAGAGGAUGACCAGCCACACUGGGACUGAGACACGGCCCAGACUCCUACGGGAGGCAGCAGUGGGGAAUCUUGCGCAAUGGGCGAAAGCCUGACGCAGCCAUGCCGCGUGAAUGAGGAAGGUCUUAGGAUUGUGAAAUUCUUUCACCGGGGACGAUAAUGACGGUACCCGGAGAAGAAGCACCGGCUAACUUCGUG